GAUGAACGCUGGCGGCGUGCCUAAUACAUGCAAGUCGAGCGAACGGACGAGAAGCUUGCUUCUCUGAUGUUAGCGGCGGACGGGUGAGUAACACGUGGAUAACCUACCUAUAAGACUGGGAUAACUUCGGGAAACCGUAGCUAAUACCGGAUAAUAUUUUGAACCGCAUGGUUCAAAAGUGAAAGACGGUCUUGCUGUCACUUAUAGAUGGAUCCGCGCUGCAUUAGCUAGUUGGUAAGGUAACGGCUUACCAAGGCAACGAUGCAUAGCCGACCUGAGGGGGUGAUCGGCCACACUGGAACUGAGACACGGUCCAGACGCCUACGGUAGGCAGCAGUAGGGAAUCUUCCGCAAUGGGCGAAAGCCUGACGGAGCAACGCCGCGUGAGUGAUGAAGGUCUUCGGAUCGUAAAACUCUGUUAUUAGGGAAGAACAUAUGUGUAAGUAACUGUGCACAUCUUGACGGUACCUAAUCAGAAAGCCACGGCUAACUACGUG
rnacentral:rRNA from 1 species